GACGAACGCUGGCGGCGUGCUUAACACAUGCAAGUCGAACGGAAAGGCCCUGCUUUUGUGGGGUGCUCGAGUGGCGAACGGGUGAGUAACACGUGAGUAACCUGCCCUUGACUUUGGGAUAACUUCAGGAAACUGGGGCUAAUACCGGAUAGGAGCUCCUGCUGCAUGGUGGGGGUUGGAAAGUUUCGGCGGUUGGGGAUGGACUCGCGGCUUAUCAGCUUGUUGGUGGGGUAGUGGCUUACCAAGGCUUUGACGGGUAGCCGGCCUGAGAGGGUGACCGGCCACAUUGGGACAGGGAUACGGCCCAGACGCCUACGGGAGGCAGGAGUGGGGAAUAUGGCACAAUGGGCGGAAGCCGGAUGCAGCAACGCCGCGUGCGGGAUGACGGCCUUCGGGUUGUAAACCGCUUUCGCCUGUGACGAAGCGUGAGUGAAGGUAAUGGGGAAAGAAGCACCGGCUAACUACGG
rnacentral:rRNA from 1 species